rnacentral:rRNA from 1 species
AUGAAGGAUGAGAUUCGUCUUGGCACCACCUUCUCAGUUCGCAACGGGAAUGACACCCAGUUUUGGCUCGACCCCUGGCUGGGCAAGGAGCCGCUCCGCGUGGGGUUCCCUAGGUUAUUUUCUAUCUGUGUGGGCCCAACAAUUUUGGUUUUCGUGGCCUGUUUGGAUGGACAGUGGAGCAUCGCGUUCUGCCAUUCAUUCGGUCAGGAUGAGGUGAUUUGCCGCUCGUCGGCCAUACAAUGGUUAUCCUUGUUGUGGAAGGCGCCAGUGCCCCUAAAAAUCAAGAUCUUCGUAUGGCAGCAGUUACGUGACCACUUGCCCUCUGGGAUAGAGGUUCUUAAACAAAAUGGCCCGGGCAAUGACCUAUGCCCUCUUUGUAAUGUCCCAGAGAUGGGCCCCCACAUCAUGCUCUUCUGCAUCAUGACGCAGGCUCUUUGGAGCUUCGUCCGCGAGGCACUAUGGUCCGAUUGGGAGGCCAGGGACCUUGCACAGUUCCUGCAGCCCAAGGCGACCCAGGUUGGUUGCAAACGCCACCUAUUCUGA